GCCCGCUUAGCUCAGUGGUAGAGCAUUGUACUUAUGAGGUCACGUGGAGUCCUGCGCAUGAGAUUAUGCAAGGGUCGGCAGUUCGACCCUGCCAGUGGGCA